CCCUUAGAUGUUCUGGGCCGCACACGCGCUACACUGAAGGAGGCAGCGUGUACUCCUGGAUCGAAAGAUUUGGGUAACCCGUGAAUCUCCUUCGUGCUAGGGAUUGAGGUUUGCAAUUAUCCUUCAUGAACGAGGAAUUCCCAGUAAGUGCAAGUCAUAAGCUUGCGCUGACUACGUCCCUGCCCUUUGUACACACCGCCCGUCGCUACUACCGAUUGAAUGAUUUAGUGAGGACUUCGGACUGGGACCGAUGCGGCUUUCGGGCUGCGUCGGUAUUCUGGAAAGAUGUCCAAACUGUAUCAUUUAGAGGAAGUAAAAGUCGUAACA
rnacentral:rRNA from 1 species